GUUAAUUAAAUUAUUACUUAAAUGGGUUAACCCAUUUAACAACUCAACCCAUCAAAUUAAAUGAGUUAUGGGUUGACCCAACCCAUUUUAUUAUGAGUUGAGUUGAGUUGGAUUACCCAUUUUGACACUUCUAAUCUUAUGUAAGAUUUUUUUCAUUAUAGUUAUACUUUUGAUGGGAAUU
rnacentral:sRNA from 1 species